CCCUUAGAUGUCCUGGGCUGCACGCGCGCUACACUGAUGUGUCCAGUAAGCACCUAACCUCUUCCGAAAGGAACGGGUAACCUUUGCAAAGCACAUCGUGAUGGGGAUAGAUUAUUGCAAUUAUUAGUCUUGAACGAGGAAUUCCUAGUAAGCACAAGUCAUCAGCUUGUGCUGAUUACGUCCCUGCCCUUUGUACACACCGCCCGUCGCUCCUACCGAUUGAGUGUUCCGGUGAAUUAUUCGGACUGCAACAGUUAUCUGUCGCGGAAAGUCUUGUGAACCUUAACACUUAGAGGAAGGAAAAGUCGUAACA
rnacentral:rRNA from 1 species